rnacentral:lncRNA from 1 species
CAGAAAUUAUAUUCUGUGUACGAGAGAAUGAGGAGUAUACUCAUGACUAAGCACAGGAACCUGGAAAACUACAGGAUUCCUAGGAAGCCGUGGAGGAUGGGGUGAACUCAGAGCUGGAGCUUGAGGAUUUUUGGAACACAUGAAUGGGAAGUUAUCCUGGCCUUGGUCAGGUGAUCCAUGGUGACUGAUCUGCCUACCAAGAAGGUACCUCAGCAGCCAGGUAAGAGAUAAGCUGCAUGCUUUUACAUGCAACUGGAGGGCAGGGGGUUCAAACAGCCUAGCAUUGCUUGAAUAGUUUAGAAAAAAUGCUCCUGGUUUGCUUUGGUGUA